CUCAAGGUCUAGGGCAUGUUGGGAUAUGGUCCUUGAGUGCUCACCAGGGGGACCGGGGCCCUUCAUGUGUAUCCCUUGAACUCAGCCUCUGGCUGCUCACCAGGGAAGGUGUCAAGCAGCAGCCCACGCCAGAGUUAUUCCAGUAGUCCUCUCGGCUGGGGGCACCGCCCCCCACCGCAGGCCAUCUGUCUGCAUUCUGUUGUGCGGGAGCCACUCGAAGGGGAUCUGGUCUCUCCUUUCUGUCAGCUCAAGGGAGAGCCAAAUGCGGUUCUGUCAGCAAGUGGGAGAUCAAAGAACUACCACUCCCAUCCCCAGCCCGGCCACUUCAGACGAGAGAGGCCACAUUGAGGACCUCUCUCCCUCUGUGCGAGUUCUGCUGAGCAUCUCCUCCCGUACGCCCUGAUACCAUGGCCUCUCGGAAUGUUCGAGUUUGGGUGCGUAAAAAAAAACGAACAUAUCAAAAUGUGUUUUUAAAAAUUGAAGCGUAUUUUACACGUUCACGUUGCCUAUAUUAACACUUUCAACCCUUGAGGGAACAAUGCCAUGUAAUGAUGUUAUUCACAAGAUACUCAGGAUUUACGAAAACACUGAUUCGUAGUGGAAUGGAGUCACCGUAAACUGCGAACGGAGCGUUUGUUAAACUUAAUAAUGAACAUCUUCUUUGAGUCCUGCUCAUUCUUCUUCAUGACCCUACAAAUUCUAUGGUUUGGAUACAAAUGAAGAACGUGUCUAUGAAGCCUGUGGUGGAUGGAAGGUCUCAGUGGAGUAGACCACCUGCCCCACACCUAUUCCAUGUCGGCCCUGCCCUCUGAGUGUCCUCACUGCUUGAAACGGCAUUAAACAUUCCUGUGUCCAUUGGGAACGACGGCAAGUAAUUUAGCAAUUUUGUGAUAAGAUAUCAGAGGCUGAGAAGCACACCUCUCCCAGGAAAAAGGGGAUCUAGGCCCGAGAUCGAUACACGAUGUGCAGAGUCCCGAAGUCAUCUGUGACAGCCAGGUCAUAAAGUGCAAAGAAGACAUACAUAGGCAGGAGCACUUUAGAAUCAGGGGAGCUUUAAAAACUACUGAUUCCGGGGGCGCCUGGGUGGCUCGGUCAGUUAAGCGUCCGACUUUGGCUGGGGUCAUGAUCUCACGGUCCGUGAGUUCGAGCCCCGCGUCAGGCUCUGGGCUGAUGGCUCGGAGCCUGGAGCCUGCUUCCGAUUCUGUGUCUCCCUCUCUCUCUGCCCCUCCCCCGUUCAUGCUCUGUCUCUCUCUGUCCCAAAAAUAAAUAAACGUUAAAAAAAAAAAAAAAAAAACUACUGAUUCUGAAACUCCACCUUCGGAGAUUUUUACAUAAUUCAUCGAGGAGCUAGCCUGGGCACCAGAACUUGUAAAAGCUCUAUAAA
rnacentral:lncRNA from 1 species